GACGAACGCUGGCGGCGUGCCUAAUACAUGCAAGUAGAACGCUGAAGGAGGAGCUUGCUCUUCUGGAUGAGUUGCGAACGGGUGAGUAACGCGUAGGUAACCUGCCUGGUAGCGGGGGAUAACUAUUGGAAACGAUAGCUAAUACCGCAUAACAGUAGAUGUUGCAUGACAUUUGCUUAAAAGGUGCAAUUGCACCACUACCAGAUGGACCUGCGUUGUAUUAGCUAGUUGGUGGGGUAACGGCUCACCAAGGCGACGAUACAUAGCCGAUCUGAGAGGGUGAUCGGCCACACUGGGACUGAGACACGGCCCAGACUCCUACGGGAGGCAGCAGUAGGGAAUCUUCGGCAAUGGACGGAAGUCUGACCGAGCAACGCCGCGUGAGUGAAGAAGGGUUUCGGAUCGUAAAGCUCUGUUGUAAGAGAAGAACGAGUGUGAGAGUGGAAAGUUCACACUGUGACGGUAGCUUACCAGAAAGGGACGGCUAACUACGUG
rnacentral:rRNA from 1 species